GAGUUUGAUCCUGGCUCAGAUUGAACGCUGGCGGCAGGCCUAACACAUGCAAGUCGAGCGGUAGAGAGAAGCUUGCUUCUCUUGAGAGCGGCGGACGGGUGAGUAAUGCCUAGGAAUCUGCCUGGUAGUGGGGGAUAACGCUCGGAAACGGACGCUAAUACCGCAUACGUCCUACGGGAGAAAGCAGGGGACCUUCGGGCCUUGCGCUAUCAGAUGAGCCUAGGUCGGAUUAGCUAGUUGGUGAGGUAAUGGCUCACCAAGGCGACGAUCCGUAACUGGUCUGAGAGGAUGAUCAGUCACACUGGAACUGAGACACGGUCCAGACUCCUACGGGAGGCAGCAGUGGGGAAUAUUGGACAAUGGGCGAAAGCCUGAUCCAGCCAUGCCGCGUGUGUGAAGAAGGUCUUCGGGAUUGUAAAGCACUUUAAGUUGGGAGGAAGGGCAGUAAAUUAAUACUUUGCUGUUUUGACGUUACCGACAGAAUAAGCACCGGCUAACUCUGUGCCAGCCGCCG
rnacentral:rRNA from 1 species